CGGGAGUGGCAAGCGUUAUCCGGAAUUAUUGGGCGUAAAGCGUCCGCAGGCGGCUUUUCAAGUCUGCUGUUAAAGCGUGGAGCUUAACUCCAUCAUGGCAGUGGAAACUGAAAGGCUUGAGUAUGGUAGGGGCAGAGGGAAUUCCCGGUGUAGCGGUGAAAUGCGUAGAUAUCGGGAAGAACACCAGUGGCGAAGGCGCUCUGCUGGGCCAUUACUGACGCUCAUGGACGAAAGCCAGGGGAGCGAAAGGGAUUAGAUACCCCUGUAGUCCUGGCCGUAAACGAUGAACACUAGGUGUCGGGGGAAUCGACCCCUUCGGUGUCGUAGCUAACGCGUUAAGUGUUCCGCCUGGGGAGUACGCACGCAAGUGUGAAACUCAAAGGAAUUGACGGGGGCCCGCACAAGCGGUGGAGUAUGUGGUUUAAUUCGAUGCAACGCGAAGAACCUUACCAGGGUUUGACAUCCUGCGAACCUCUUAGAAAUUUGAGGGUGCCUUCGGGAAUGCAGUGACAGGUGGUGCAUGGCUGUCGUCAGCUCGUGUCGUGAGAUGUUGGGUUAAGUCCCGCAACGAGCGCAACCCACGUUUUUAGUUGCCAGCAUUUAGUUGGGCACUCUAGAAAGACCGCCGGUGAUAAACCGGAGGAAGGUGUGGAUGACGUCAAGUCAUCAUGCCCCUUACACCCUGGGCUACACACGUACUACAAUGCUACGGACAAAGGGCAGCAAACUCGCGAGAGCUAGCAAAUCCCAUAAACCGUGGCUCAGUUCAGAUCGUAGGCUGCAACUCGCCUACGUGAAGUAGGAAUCGCUAGUAAUCGCAGGUCAGCAUACUGCGGUGAAUACGUUCCC
rnacentral:rRNA from 1 species